CAGGCAUCUCGAAUUGGACCGAGAUCCAGUGCGUCGACGUGCCCGCCGUAAUCAUCGCCCCCUGUUCUUGGCUCACACAGUUGCUCCGGGAAGGAGUUCGCAGCUGGCGUAUGUGCUCGGUUGCUGAAGGCUUGAAGUGGUGGUCGUAACCCAGUUAGUUGGGAGGACUCAAUGGCAGACUCGACAUGUUGACAUCUUCGGGUGUUCUUAAUGAAUUUGGACCAUGAAGUGGAGUCUGAUCAGUCAUUACGACAUCAACAGUGGCAGGGGCGGAAUUACUACUAUGGCGCGGGCCACCGGAGGUAGGGCAGCGCGCCGGGUCGAGGAUGGCCAUCGGGUCGACGACGGCGUGGAGAUCAGGGACGAGGACGACGGGGCGAGACGGAGGUUUCGUUCAGACGACACGGCCACCGGGUCAACGACGGCGUGGAGAUCAGGGGCGAGGCCGAGGUUUCGUUCAGACGGCACGGUCGCCGGGUUGAUGACGACGCGAAGACAAGGGGUGAGGAUGGCGGAGCAAGGCCGAGGUUCCGUUCAGAUGGCACGGCCACCGGGAUGAGGAUGUCGCGGACCCCAAGGGCGAGGCCAGGUUCAUGGCGUGGUGGCGGCGUUGAUUGUGGAUGUAUUGUUUAGUUUCUAGGAGGUGCCAUCGUUGGGUUGUGUAGCAUCCCGGACGAAGGAGUCUGCCGACAGAACAUUUGUUUUCACCGUCGAUCUGAUUGUAGUAUGGUGAUGUAAUGUGGGCAGUUGGAUGGUAUUACGUGGGUCUGAUCGAACAUGGAGGGUUAUUCCGUGUGCACUUUGUGGUGUGGCUUUAGGGGAAUUCUUGUUUGCUCUUUUAAUAGUAGUAUAGAUGUUUUGUUAA